rnacentral:rRNA from 1 species
UACGGGGGGAGCAAGCGUUGUUCGGAUUUACUGGGCGUAAAGGGCGCGUAGGCGGCCACCGCAAGUCGACUGUGAAAUCUCCGGGCUUAAUCCGGAAAGGUCAGCCGAUACUGCGGGGCUAGAGUGCAGAAGGGGCAACUGGAAUUCUCGGUGUAGCGGUGAAAUGCGUAGAUAUCGAGAGGAACACCUGCGGCGAAGGCGGGUUGCUGGGCUGACACUGACGCUGAUGUGCGAAAGCUAGGGGAGCGAACGGG